GUUGCGCACGUGUAUAAAGCGCAUCUUCACGCGCAUCGCGCUCUCAUAUAUAGUAGAAAUAGUCAACUAUAAACUAGUUUUUAUUUUCAAAUUUUAUUCAGUGAUCUUUGGACGUUCAAGUACUGGAUUCGAUAAAAGUGCUGACACAAGAAGCCGUGCUCAAGAGCGAUGAAGAAGAAAGGAAGAAUAGAGGUUCUUUGGGGAAUAUUCACUCUUGCAAUGUGUCUG